rnacentral:rRNA from 1 species
UACGUAGGGUGCAAGCGUUGUCCGGAAUUAUUGGGCGUAAAGAGCUCGUAGGCGGUCUGUCGCGUCUACUGUGAAAACUCAGGGCUUAACCCUGAGCUUGCAGUGGGUACGGGCAGACUAGAGUGCGGUAGGGGAGACUGGAAUUCCUGGUGUAGCGGUGAAAUGCGCAGAUAUCAGGAGGAACACCGGUGGCGAAGGCGGGUCUCUGGGCCGUAACUGACGCUGAGGAGCGAAAGCAUGGGGAGCGAACAGG